rnacentral:rRNA from 1 species
UACGAAGGGGGCUAGCGUUGCUCGGAAUUAUUGGGCGUAAAGGGCGCGUAGGCGGUGCGGUAAGUCCGCAGUGAAAUCUCGGAGCUUAACUCCGAAACUGCAUUCGAUACUGCCGUGCUUGAGGACUGGAGAGGAGACUGGAAUUUACGGUGUAGCGGUGAAAUGCGUAGAUAUCGUAAGGAAGACCAGUGGCGAAGGCGGGUCUCUGGACAGUUCCUGACGCUGAGGCACGAAGGUCAGGGGAGCAAACGGG